ACUAAGCAGAAGAAAUCCAAGUCGGCUGAAUUUCUGAUGGUUAAAGAAGAUAGAGAAGCUACAGGAGGCAUUGGAAAUCCAGCUUUUAACAUGAGCAGUCCAGAUCUCUCAGCCUGUCAGACUGCAGAAAAGAAAGUUAUUAGACAUGACAUGCCGGAUCGCACCCUUGCAGCUCACCAACAAAAAUUCAGGCUGCUAGCCUCUGCAGAACCAAAAGGAAAUGAAUACGGCAGAAAUUACUUUGACCCACUGAUGGAUGAGGAAAUAAACCCAAGGCAGUGUGCGAUGGAGGUCAGCAGAGAAGGAUUUGAAAUUCGAAGGGGAAGGACUCAACCAAUACAUUCCGAUGUCACUUUUAAAGACUGGUAAAACAUUUGAGAGAACUCCAAGUCAACCAUUCAUUGCAGACCUAAAUAUUUGUAAAAAGGAUAGUGCAGCCCAGCUUGGUACCCUCACAGAAGUAACUAAUGACUCAAAGAGAGCAGCAGGACCCCGCUGGAAGUUCCUGAGUAAUUCAAGAACCCUGCCUUUUGUGGAGAAUGAGCAGUCUCAACCACCUCAGCCUCUGCAAAUCCAGAUCAGAUGCCUGAGGGGCCUUAAAGACAAGGCUCCCCCAGGCUAUUAUGUACUCAGGCUGUCCCUGCUUGGUCAACUGGGAGGCUGUGUCUUGCAGUGGCUGCAAACGGAGGAGCUGAAGACGAGAGCACACCCCAUCAGGCACAGUGGAAACUUUUAUGAUGUGGGGCUGUAUUUCCAUGAAAACCUUUGUGUGGGAGCAUUCGUAAUAAAAUCGGUCCCUGUUCUAUGGACUGUGAUCCCAAUCUCUUAAAAGAAGAUGAUGAUCUACACUGUCAGGGAGAUAGCCUGACUGAUCAUUCUCUGAAAGAAAAAUCAACUAUUUGGAGAACUGGAGAAGCAGAAGAUUAUUCACAGGACACGUCUUACUUGGAGGAACUGGAGGAACACUGAUCUUCUGUUUGCUGUUCUUCAGUUGCUGAUAGUAGAUCUGGAGACUUCUUCAAGCAUCUCCAUUUUGUGCUGGUGUCAGUAUCUUCAGAGCUUCAGUUAUCUCAAUGGCAAAGCCAGGGCUUCUGGUACAUUAUCCUGCUGAUGGUUUCUCUCUGGUUCCUGAGGCUCUACCUGCACUACCUGGGCCAGUGGCUCUUCCUCCAGGCCAUUUCAGCUCCUGUUACAA